GAUGAACGCUGGCGGCGCGCCUAACACAUGCAAGUCGAACGGCACCCACCUUCGGGUGGAAGCGCGUGGCGAACGGCUGAGUAACACGUGGAGAACCUGCACCCUCCCCCGGGAUAGCCGCCCGAAAGGACGGGUAAUACCGGAUACCCCGGGCUGCCGCAUGGCACCGGGGCUAACGCCCAGGCGGGAGGGGAUGGCUCCGCGCCCCAUCACGUAGACGGCGGGGUGCCGGUCCACCGUGCCGACAACGGGUAGCGGGGUUGAUAGACCGACCAGCCAGAUUGUGACUGAGACACGGCCCAGACUCCUACGGGAGGCAGCAGUGGGGAAUCUUACGCAAUGGGGGGAACCCUGACACAGCGACGCCGCGUGCGGGACGGAGGCCUUCGGGUCGUAAACCGCUUUCAGCAGGGAAGAGUCAAGACUGUACCUGCAGAAGAAGCCCCGGCUAACUACGUGCCAGCAGCCGCCGUAAGAC
rnacentral:rRNA from 1 species